AUCGUUUUCUCCGCAGUAGAUGGAAGUGAAAAAUAUACAUGCUAUGGUAAUAAUAUAUUUUGGAUUAGUUAGUUACAUCUUUUUUAUUUAAGGGCACUCUAUUUCGUACGAAAAGAUCAACUAAUGAAGCAGUUUGACUGGAAAGGAUGCUUCUCGUCUAGCCGUAGUAGUAGAUUUAAAAAUAUUCGACAAAGCUUUGCGUUGUGGCAUCUUUAUCUUCAAAGGAGCUGCGAUAAUUACGGAAACGUUCGUGGGGCUUAGGAGCUGCGUCACCAACGCAUGACACUAAUAUAGACUUUUGUAUAUGUGGUUUUGCUUACAAUAUUUUGCAGAUUUUUGAAAAUGAAUUUAUUGCUAUAUUAUUAAUUCUUUGUAUGAUAUAUAAACCAUGUACCUGAUCUAUGUAAAAAUAUUGAAAUAAAGACUGAAUCUUAAAACAUUCUUAAUGU